rnacentral:misc_RNA from 1 species
UAAUAGUGACAGAUGCAACAACCUACAACCAUGUGAAAGAACUUUCAAUUUUCAUUCAACAUCCCUGCUGCUUAUUCAAAGAAAGACAAGAGUAUAAAUAAAUUCAAUCACAAUAAUUUGCUAUUAAGGCCCCUAUCAUCAACCGUAUAAUAUUAAUCAUGACAACAUUAAGAUUGUUUGGAAUUUGAUUUUUUAAUGCACUAGGAGUAUCCAUAAUCUCUUUAAAUCGGUGUAUAAUUGCAACUAAACUCAAAUGGGAAAAUGAAGCAACAUUUUUCUUUAUUAGCAUAGCUUGAAAAACAUUAUUAAGUAUUGAAAAAAUUAUUUCUAUUUUUGUUUAAAUCCAAACUAGCCCAAAUAUUUUCCAACCCACAGAAUUAGUAACAACAGAAACCAAUCAAUUACUCACUUAGGUCCUUGAAUCUCAACCUCCCCUCACAUUUAAACACAAAAGUUGAACAUAGAAGAAAAAGACUCACCGUGCUGUCUACAAACUUGAG